rnacentral:pre_miRNA from 1 species
AAAUUUAGGUUCUAAUCCAAAGCCCAUUGAAGUCAAUAGGAAUCUUUCCAUUGACUUCAGUAGGAUUUGAAAUGGAUCCUUUCUGUU